GGGGCGCUCCGGGCUCCGGGGAGGGCUGGAGGGAGGCUCCUCACCUCAGCAGAGGAGAAUCUUCUCCUCACCGUCCAGCCCACAGACACCAGGACAUCGGGGAGUCCCCAUGUGCCCCUUUCACACAAUCCCAAAUCCCUGAGGGUUCUGGAAAAAGCCCUCCCAGCCCAGGGAGUGCCAGCUGUGCCCCAUGGCCACCCUGUGCCCAGCCCAGAGCACUCAGUGCCAGCUCCAGGGGACACCUGCAGGGAUGGGCACUGCAGCACCGUUGGCAAUUCAUCCCAGCACUGCAGGAGCUGUUGGUUGUCAGCCCUGGCUGAGGCAGUGCCCCUGUUUCACACUGAGCAUCUGCCACCUUUCAGACUCACAGGCACCGCCUCACUUUUGUCCUUCACCUUUUUCUCAGCUUAAAUAAAACCAUUUUGAGGAGAGUCUCAAAAUCCCUCACACAUCUGAAUUCCUGAGCAAGGGAACCAGAGUGGGUUUGCCUUCAAUUAAUGGCCCUCAGUCCCUUCCUGGCCACACCUCACCCUGACCAGCUUGGAAAUUCUGAAUUUACAAACUGGAAAUGAUAAAGGAAUGGCAUUGAUGUGUGGGAGCAGGCAGGGGGUUCUCGGGAGGGAUUUCCCCAUGGAAAGGGGGCUCAGGCCUUGGCAGGGGCUGCCCAGGGAGCUCUGCAGUGCCCAUCCCUGCAGGUGUGCCAGGCCAGGCUGGACAUGGGGCUGGAGCAGCCUGGCACAGUGGGAGGUGUCCCUGCCAUGGCAGGGGUGGCACUGGGGGGGCUCUGGGGUCCCUCCCAACCCAAACCUCCAGUGACCCUCUGACUCUCCUCUCCGGGAUUCUGCAUUCCUCUCCCGUUCUGUUUUCCCCACAAAAUCAGGCAUUUGGGGGUUGAGCUGAUCUUUGCUUUUAAGGAGUUGCCAACUCCCUUUGAGUGUCUGGAAUUUUCUGUUAAGGUAAAUCAGGACAUUUCUGCUAUGCUGAGUAAAAAUUAAUUAGCUGCUGAUGUUUAAUGCUGUUUAAAAAGGAGGAUUGAUCCCUUCUCUCCUCUGUUAAAUGCAGAAGGCCGUGGUUGGAGCCUUGGGAAGAUCUCUGGAUCUGGGAAUGCAGGAGGGAGGAACCAUCCCCAGGGAGAGGAAAGGAACCAUCCCCAGGGAGAGGAGAGGACCCAUCCCCAGGGAGAGGAGCCAUCCCUCAGUGUCCCCAGAGCCAGCCUGGUGUCCCCAGCCCGCGCAGGAGCUGCAGCCCUCCCCUGACCUCCCCCAGGCAGCCCCUGGGAGCAGCACAGGGAGGCUAAAAAGGGGACUGAGCCCUUCCAAGGCUUCCAGGGACAUUUAACACCUCGAGUGACAGAAGUGACAGAAGAGUUGGGCAGGAAAAGCAUGGCCAGGAAUGGGUGAGGGGUCCAGGAAGGGCUGAAAUGCCCAGGAAUGAGUGAAAUGUCCAGGAAGGGCUGAAAUGCCCAGGAAUGAGUGAAAUGCCCAGGAAUUGAUGAAAUGCCCAGGAAUGAGUGAAAUGCCCAGGAAUGGAUGAAAUGCCCAGGAAUGAGUGAAAUGCCCAGGAAUGAGUGAAAUGCCCAGGAAUGGAUGAAAUGCCCAGGAAUUGAUGAAAUGCCCAGGAAUGAGUGAAAUGCCCAGGAAUGGAUGAAAUGCCCAGGAAUGAGUGAAAUGCCCAGGAAUGGAUGAAAUGCCCAGGAAUGGAUGAAAUGCCCAGGAACUGAUGAAAUGCCCAGGAAGGGCUGAAAUGCC